UACGGAGGGGGCUAGCGUUGUUCGGAAUUACUGGGCGUAAAGCGCACGUAGGCGGCUUUGUAAGUUAGAGGUGAAAGCCCAGAGCUCAACUCUGGAACUGCCUUUAAGACUGCAUCGCUUGAAUCACGGAGAGGUCAGUGGAAUUCCGAGUGUAGAGGUGAAAUUCGUAGAUAUUCGGAAGAACACCAGUGGCGAAGGCGACUGACUGGACAUGUAUUGACGCUGAGGUGCGAAAGCGUGGGGAGCAAACAGG
rnacentral:rRNA from 1 species